AUGUCAUAACCGAAGAGCCCAUUACGAUACGGCUUCUCCGUUUUAUCUUCCCAUUUGUAAAUGGCGAUUAUGCUCAGAAUGGCAUAUGGAGAGUGAGACGAGAGGUGAUUGCAGGCGGCGAGAGAGGGUGCUUUCGCAGGAGGGAGGGAGGGAGGGAGGGAGGGAGGGACACACAGGGGGUGAGAGGUUGAGGUUGGGCAGCGAUAGAUGGCUUGUCGAAACGACGGCUAGUCGGCAGUGGAACCUGGCUAUGUUCCUUCUUCUUAUUCUUUCUUCUUCGUAGCUGUUUACAUUUUUGCAAGCUCAAUUGUUAAAAUAAUCUUGAAGCGUAGUCAUUAUAUUUCCACUUCUUGAAGCUCAAGUUGCGGAGGUGAUUUUUCGAAACUAUAUUAGGGAACUGUUUGAUUUUAGCCAUGGCCGUCUGUAUCCUUGCUGCUCUUCCAUUGAUUCUUUGCCCAUCAAUCUUUAGUCCCACUCCAUCAACCCAUUAGAUGUCGCCGCAACCAACGAGGAAAUAGCUUAUAGACCCGGGUGUUUAGAGAUAUUGGUAGAUUAACCUUUGGUUGGUUUGCGAAUGUGGAGCAACAUUGAGUGUGAUUGCAACAAUAUUUGUUGUGAAGAGGGCUCAGAGCAGGUGGGAGUGGUUGAUGGUUCUUAAGGAUUUGAUGGAAUUUAAGAAAGUGGUCAUGUCACUGAUAUAGGCUGAAGAUGGACGCAAUGGCGUUAGAGCUGUUCCUAGACUUGCCCUCCUAAGGUGUUUCAAAGCUCAAAAUGCUCCUCACACACAUGAAUAAUUUGCCCAACAGGAGUUUCUUGCCCAAGAAUGAUUCUCCCGAGUAUCAGCCUUGCGGCUUAUUGUGAUUCGUCUCCAAGUACGGCUGGUGCAGGCAUCUCCAAGUCAUACCAAAUACCCUUGUUCCGCCUGAUCUUCAUCUAAGUCCUCUCCUCUAUUUCUUCUUCUCUCCAUUUUUUCUUCUUAUCUCUCCUGAUUUUUUUAGAGAUUUACAUUCUUUUCUGGUCAUGAUCUGAUCCUCUUGAAUUGUAACACAGGUUAUGUAUGUUUUAGGGGGAGACCAAAUGAUCAACUACACCAAAUAGUUUUGCUGAUGAAUUUCUUAUGGAUAGCAAAAAGGUCUUUCAGCUCACAUGACUAGUGAUGUGGCAUGGAAUGGUGGUAAUGGUGGUGACAUGUUAGGCGGCAAGCAUUUUCACUCAAUGGUGAUGCUGUUAUGGGAUAAAGUACUAUUCCUAUUUUUUACCUUCUUUUUUUAUAUUUUUUUUGGAAAAAAACUUAAAUUUGUGUUUUUCUCAUAUUUACUUUGAGCUUUUGCUGCUCUAGGUGACCACAUCAAAUUCAUACAUAUUUAUUUAUUUCUCAUAUGAUCAACUUGCAACAGUGA